rnacentral:rRNA from 1 species
UACGUAGGGCGCAAGCGUUAUCCGGAAUUAUUGGGCGUAAAGAGCUCGUAGGCGGUUUGUCGCGUCUGCCGUGAAAGUCCGGGGCUCAACUCCGGAUCUGCGGUGGGUACGGGCAGACUAGAGUGCGGUAGGGGAGAUUGGAAUUCCUGGUGUAGCGGUGGAAUGCGCAGAUAUCAGGAGGAACACCGAUGGCGAAGGCAGAUCUCUGGGCCACUACUGACGCUGAGAAGCGAAAGCAUGGGGAGCGAACAGG